CAGUAGCCGCGGUAAUACGAAGGGUGCAAGCGUUAAUCGGAAUUACUGGGCGUAAAGCGUGCGUAGGCGGCUUGGUAAGUUAGAGGUGAAAGCCUGGAGCUCAACUCCAGAAUUGCCUUUAAGACUGCCGAGCUAGCAGGUGAGAGAGGUAAGUGGAAUUCCGAGUGUAGAGGUGAAAUUCGUAGAUAUUCGGAAGAACACCAGUGGCGAAAGCGGCUUACUGGCUCAUACUGGGCGCUGAGGUGCGAAAGCGUGGGGAGCAAACAGGAUUAGAUACCCGGGUAGUCCCUGUCUCUUAUAU
rnacentral:rRNA from 1 species